rnacentral:rRNA from 1 species
UACCAGCACCCCGAGUGGUCGGGACGAUUAUUGGGCCUAAAGCAUCCGUAGCCGGUCCUGCAAGUCUUCCGUUAAAUCCAGCUGCUCAACAGAUGGGCUGCGGGGGAUACUACAUGGCUAGGAGGCGGGAGAGGCAAGCGGUACUUUAUGGGUAGGGGUAAAAUCCGUUGAUCCAUAGAAGACCACCAGUGGCGAAGGCGGCUUGCCAGAACGCGCUCGACGGUGAGGGAGUG